AACGAACGCUGGCGGCGUGCCUAACACAUGCAAGUCGUGCGAGAAAGUUCCUUCGGGAGCGAGUAAAGCGGCGCACGGGUGAGUAACACGUAGGUAACCUGCCCCCCAGUCUGGAACAACUAGAGGAAACUCUAGCUAAUGCCGGAUGAGACCACGAUCCCUUCGGGGGUUGCGGCCAAAGAUGGCCUCUACUUGUAAGCUAUCGCUGAGGGAUGGGCCUGCGGGCCAUUAGCUUGUUGGUGAGGUAACGGCUCACCAAGGCUGUGAUGGCUAGCUGGUCUGAGAGGAUGACCAGCCACACUGGGACUGAGACACGGCCCAGACUCCUACGGGAGGCAGCAGUGGGGAAUAUUGCGCAAUGGGCGAAAGCCUGACGCAGCGACGCCGCAUGGGUGAUGAAGGCCU
rnacentral:rRNA from 1 species